rnacentral:rRNA from 1 species
AGAGUUUGAUCAUGGCUCAGGAUGAACGCUGGCGGCGUGCCUAAUACAUGCAAGUCGAACGCUUUGUCUUUAAUUGAUAUGAAGAGCUUGCUCUGAUUUGAUUUUAUCUGACAAAGAGUGGCGAACGGGUGAGUAACACGUGGGUAACCUACCUCUUAGCAGGGGAUAACAUUUGGAAACAAGUGCUAAUACCGUAUAAUACCAACAACCGCAUGGUUGUUGGUUGAAAGAUGGUUCUGCUAUCACUAAGAGAUGGACCCGCGGUGCAUUAGCUAGUUGGUAAGGUAACGGCUUACCAAGGCAAUGAUGCAUAGCCGAGUUGAGAGACUGAUCGGCCACAAUGGGACUGAGACACGGCCCAUACUCCUACGGGAGGCAGCAGUAGGGAAUCUUCCACAAUGGGCGCAAGCCUGAUGGAGCAACGCCGCGUGUGUGAUGAAGGGUUUCGGCUCGUAAAACACUGUUAUAAGAGAAGAACGGCACUGAGAGUAACUGUUCAGUGUGUGACGGUAUCUUACCAGAAAGGAACGGCUAAAUACGUGCCAGCAGCCGCGGUAAUACGUAUGUUCCAAGCGUUAUCCGGAUUUAUUGGGCGUAAAGCGAGCGCAGACGGUUAUUUAAGUCUGAAGUGAAAGCCCUCAGCUCAACUGAGGAAUGGCUUUGGAAACUGGAUGACUUGAGUGCAGUAGAGGAAAGUGGAACUCCAUGUGUAGCGGUGAAAUGCGUAGAUAUAUGGAAGAACACCAGUGGCGAAGGCGGCUUUCUGGACUGUAACUGACGUUGAGGCUCGAAAGUGUGGGUAGCAAACAGGAUUAGAUACCCUGGUAGUCCACACCGUAAACGAUGAGUGCUAGAUGUUCGAGGGUUUCCGCCCUUGAGUGUCGCAGCU